AUACGGAGGAUCCGAGCGUUAUCCGGAUUUAUUGGGUUUAAAGGGAGCGUAGGCGGACUAUUAAGUCAGCUGUGAAAGUUUGCGGCUCAACCGUAAAAUUGCAGUUGAUACUGGCUGUCUUGAGUACAGUAGAGGUGGGCGGAAUUCGUGGGGUAGCGGUGAAAUGCUUAGAUAUCACGAAGAACUCCGAUUGCGAAGGCAGCUCACUGGACUGCAACUGACACUGAUGCUCGAAAGUGUGGGUAUCAAACAGGAUUAGAUACCCUGGUAGUCCACACAGUAAACGAUGAAUACUCGCUGUUUGCGAUAUACAGUAAGCGGCCAAGCGAAAGCAUUAAGUAUUCCACCUGGGGAGUACGCCGGCAACGGUGAAACUCAAAUGAAUUGACGGGG
rnacentral:rRNA from 1 species